rnacentral:lncRNA from 1 species
UGGGUAGUAGCCAUUUUGGCGUUACUUGUUGGCUCGGCAAUCGCUACUGAACCUUACAUUUAUAGCUCUCCUCCACCACCGUAUGUGUAUAAAUCUCCACCGCCUCCGGUUGCAUCUCCUCCACCUCCUUAUGAAUACAAAUCUCCUCCCCCUCCGGUUAAGUCCCCUCCACCACCGUAUGAGUAUAAAUCUCCUCCUCCUCCUGUUAAGUCUCCUCCACCACCUUAUUACUACCACUCUCCACCACCACCCGUGAAGUCUCCUCCCCCUCCAUAUGUAUACCACUCUCCUCCUCCUCCGGUUAAGUCUCCUCCACCACCGUAUUACUACCACUCUCCACCACCACCCGUGAAGUCUCCCCCCCCUCCAUAUGUGUACCACUCUCCUCCUCCUCCGGUUAAGUCUCCUCCACCACCGUAUUACUACCACUCUCCACCACCACCCGUGAAGUCUCCUCCCCCUCCUUAUGUCUACCACUCUCCUCCUCCUCCGGUUAAGUCUCCUCCACCACCGUAUUACUACCACUCUCCACCUCCCCCGGUGAAAUCUCCACCACCACCGUAUUAUUACCACUCUCCUCCGCCUCCGGUGAAAUCUCCUCCUCCUCCUUAUUACUAUCAUUCUCCACCUCCCGUGAAAUCUCCUCCACCACCAUACUACUAUCAUUCACCACCUCCUCCAGUGAAAUCUCCACCACCACCAUACUACUACCAUUCUCCACCUCCUCCAGUGAAGUCUCCUCCACCACCGUACUACUAUCACUCUCCACCCCCUCCGGUGAAGUCUCCUCCACCACCGUACUAUUAUCACUCUCCUCCUCCUCCGGUUAAGUCUCCACCUCCACCUUACUACUACCACUCUCCUCCUCCUCCGGUCAAGUCUCCACCUCCACCUUACUACUACCACUCUCCACCACCACCAGUCAAAUCUCCACCACCACCGUACUACUACCACUCUCCUCCUCCCCCAGUUAAAUUUCCACCGCCGCCAUACUAUUAUCACUCUCCACCACCACCAGUCAAAUCUCCUCCACCUCCAUACUACUACCAUUCACCGCCUCCUCCGGUGAAAUCACCACCUCCACCUUACUAUUACUCAUCUCCACCACCACCAAAAUCUUACCCUCCACCAUAUUACUACUCAUCUCCACCACCACCACCAAAGUCGUACUCUCCACCAUACUACUAUUCAUCACCACCACCUCCGGUGUCAUACCCUCAUCCUCACCCACACACACAUCCACUUGUCUUCAAAGUUGUUGGUAAGGUGUACUGUUACAGAUGUUAUGACUGGACAUACCCUAAAAAGUCCCACGAUAAGAAGCAUCUCAAAGGUAACUUAUAAGCCUCCCCCCACGUGUUCAAUAAUAAAUUCUAAUCUUAGCAAAUUCCUUAACUAAUUUACAUAAUUUUAUCUUGAUGCUUAUAGGACUUAAAUAAUUAACUAGCAUAUAUGUAUUGUAAAGUACUAGUAGUUGCAUGUGAUCUAGAUUAUUUUUAUUAGUGGAGAAAAGAAAACGAUUAAGUCAAGAAAAAGACAAGAAUCUGUUAUUGACAAACAAUCCAAAGGGAUCGAACAAGCAAAAUCGAUUUUGUAGAUAUACCAACUAAAAGGACAUCAAAUGAUAUUUUUAAAUUUUAAUAAUUUGUUUUCGUCAUAUAGGUGCUGUUGUGGAAGUGACUUGCAAGGCCGGUGACAAGACAGUGAAGGCAUACGGAAAGACCAAAAUCAACGGUAAAUACGCAAUCACCGUUAAAGGAUACAACUACCGUAAAUAUGGUGGCGACGUCUGCACGGCCAAGCUUCACGCUCCUCCUAAGGGAUCACCAUGUAACAUUCCUACAAGUUACCAUAUGGGUAACAAAGGUGCAAAACUCCAUGUGAAAUCAAAGACAAAGUACGAGGUUGUGCUUUAUGCUAAGUCCUUUGCUUAUGCACCUAAGAAACCUUACGGUGAGUGCCACAAACCGGCUCCUUACCAUCCUCCAUACUACUACAAAUCUCCACCACCACCGUCUCCGGUUUACUACUACAAGUCACCACCUCCACCAGCUCCUACUUACGUCUACAAGUCUCCACCACCACCAACUCCGACUUAUGUCUACAAAUCACCACCUCCACCAACCCCAACAUAUGUCUACAAAUCACCACCACCACCAACUCCGACUUACGUCUACAAGUCACCACCGCCGCCAACCCCGACCUAUGUUUACAAAUCACCACCGCCACCAACCCCGACUUAUGUCUAUAAAUCUCCACCACCACCAACCCCUACUUAUGUUUACAAGUCACCACCUCCACCAACUCCGACUUAUGUAUACAAGUCACCACCACCUCCAACCCCAACAUAUGUUUACAAAUCUCCACCACCACCAACUCCAACCUAUGUUUACAAAUCACCACCUCCUCCUACUCCGACCUAUGUCUACAAGUCACCGCCUCCUCCCACUCCAACGUAUGUUUACAAAUCACCACCCCCUCCAACGCACACUCCUACACCAUACUACUACCACUCUCCACCACCACCAGUAAAAUCUCCUCCACCUCCAUAUUAUUAUCACUCACCACCACCACCCAUCAAAUCCCCACCACCUCCAUACUACUACCAUUCUCCACCACCUCCGGUCAAGUCUCCUCCACCACCAUACUACUAUCAUUCACCACCUCCUCCGGUGAAAUCUCCUCCUCCUCCUUACUAUUACCAUUCUCCACCUCCUCCGGUGAAGUCUCCUCCUCCACCUUACUACUACCACUCUCCACCUCCUCCGGUGAAGUCUCCACCCCCUCCUUACUACUACCACUCCCCACCUCCUCCGGUGAAGUCUCCACCCCCACCUUACUACUACCACUCUCCACCUCCUCCGGUGAAAUCUCCUCCCCCUCCUUACUACUACCACUCCCCACCUCCUCCCGUGAAGUCGCCACCCCCUCCUUACUACUACCACUCCCCACCUCCUCCGGUGAAGUCUCCUCCUCCACCUUACUACUAUCACUCCCCACCUCCUCCGGUGAAAUCUCCACCACCACCAUACUACUACCACUCACCACCUCCUCCGGUGAAAUCUCCACCACCACCAUACUACUACCACUCACCACCUCCUCCGGUGAAAUCUCCACCACCACCAUACUACUACCACUCACCACCUCCUCCCGUCAAGUCUCCUCCUCCACCAUACUAUUACCACUCACCACCUCCACCCGUGAAAUCUCCUCCUCCACCAUACUACUACCACUCACCACCUCCACCCGUGAAAUCUCCUCCUCCACCAUACUACUACCACUCACCUCCCCCACCAGUGAAAUCACCUCCACCACCUUACUACUAUCACUCACCACCCCCACCUGUGAAGUCUCCUCCUCCACCAUACUAUUAUCACUCACCACCCCCUCCAGUCAAAUCUCCACCACCACCAUACUAUUAUCACUCACCACCCCCUCCAGUCAAAUCUCCACCACCACCAUACUACUACCAUUCACCACCUCCUCCGGUGAAAUCCCCACCACCACCGUACCAUUACAACUCUCCACCACCACCAGUAAAAUCUCCCCCACCUCCAGUCUACAUCUACGCUUCUCCCCCACCUCCUACCCAUUACUAGGCUCGUCAAACUCAGCAACAUUUCCACAUUAUUCAAGUAAGUUCCAACCCUCCAAUACUUUCAAUAUGCUCCAUAUCCAUUUCGAUAAAACUUUCCACUAAAAUCUCA